rnacentral:rRNA from 1 species
UAGUCCUAGCCGUAAACGAUGUUCAUUAGGUGUGGGAGGUAUCGACCCCUUCCGCGCCGAAGCUAACGCAUUAAAUGAACCGCCUGGGGAGUACGGCCGCAAGGUUGAAACUCAAAGGAAUUGACGGGGGCCCGCACAAGCAGUGGAGUAUGUGGUUUAAUUCGACGCAACGCGAAGAACCUUACCUGGGCUUGAACCGUUGGUAGUAAAAUCCCGAAAGGGAGAUGACCCGCAAGGGAGCCAAUAGAGGUGCUGCAUGGUUGUCGUCAGCUCGUGUCGUGAGAUGUUGGGUUAAGUCCCGCAACGAGCGCAACCCUUAUCCUAUGUUGCCACCCCCGCAAGGGGAGCACUCUUAGGAGACUGCCACGGAUAACGUGGAGGAAGGUGGGGACGACGUCAAAUCAUCAUGGCCCUUAUGUCCAGGGCUACACACGUACUACAAUGGCUAGAACAGAGGGAAGCAAGCCCGCAAGGUGGAGCAAACCCCCAAACUAGCCCCAGUUCAGAUUGUGGGCUGCAACUCGCCCACA